rnacentral:rRNA from 1 species
UACGUAGGGUGCGAGCGUUAAUCGGAAUUACUGGGCGUAAAGCGUGCGCAGGCGGUUUUGCAAGCCGGAUGUGAAAUCCCCGGGCUCAACCUGGGAACUGCAUUUGUGACUGUAGAGCUGGAGUACGGCAGAGGGGGAUGGAAUUCCGCGUGUAGCAGUGAAAUGCGUAGAUAUGCGGAGGAACACCGAUGGCGAAGGCAAUCCCCUGGGCCUGUACUGACGCUCAUGCACGAAAGCGUGGGGAGCAAACAGG